rnacentral:rRNA from 1 species
AACGAACGCUGGCGGCAUGCCUAUCACAUGCAAGUCGAACGAGACCUUCGGGUCUAGUGGCGCACGGGUGCGUAACGCGUGGGAAUCUGCCCUUGGGUUCGGAAUAACCAGGAGAAAUCCUGGCUAAUACCGGAUGAUGUCUUCGGACCAAAGAUUUAUCGCCCAGGGAUGAGCCCGCGUCGGAUUAGCUAGCUGGUGAGGUAAAGGCUCACCAAGGCGACGAUCCGUAGCUGGUCUGAGAGGAUGAUCAGCCACACUGGGACUGAGACACGGCCCAGACUCCUACGGGAGGCAGCAGUGGGGAAUAUUGGACAAUGGGCGAAAGCCUGAUCCAGCAAUGCCGCGUGAGUGAUGAAGGCCUUAGGGUUGUAAAGCUCUUUUACCCGGGAUGAUAAUGACAGUACCGGGAGAAUAAGCCCCGGCUAACUCCGUGCCAGCCGCCGCUGUAACAC